rnacentral:ncRNA from 2 species
AUGAACGCGGAGGGAGAGACUACCAAAAAUAUUCGCAUCGCUGUUGUCGUUUGUGAGACAGUUGGGCACGCGAAUCGGAUCAAGUUGUUAUCUGCAAAACCGGGUAACAUACCGUUGAUCCAAAAGGUAGCGCCGAAGGAGUAAACUUGCAUUGCAGGUGAAUCUCUCAGGCAAAAGGACCUCUGCCGGACG